UUAGUGUUGCCACUUUAUUCAGUGGUUAAUACGAAAAUAAACGGAAAAUUGCUUAAAGUACUUAAAAAAAAAAAAUAUUGCGUUCAAAGCAAAAUAAAACAAUAUCAGAAAAAAAAUUAAAUAUGUCCUCAAUGAAAAAAAAACAAAAUUUAUACAAUUUCCAAUAAUUAAUCGUUUUCAAGGCAGUCAAUAAAUUGCGCAUAACGGGAACGGACCCAAAUAUUUAUCCGGCCAGAUUGCCCUGCCGAAAUCUGAGUUGACCUUGAUACUUCAAUUUUUUUACAAUGUUGACGAUGAUAACAGAUUUCCAUAUUUGGUAUUAAACUUCAUUAGAAAGUCGAUGUUUAUAAUGAACUACAUUAAACCAGUUAAAGGGCAAUAGAAGAAAGUUUAACCAAGAUUUCUUAACUAAUGGAACGAGAUCAAAAAAGGUUCAACGAAAUCAAGUUGUCUUGAGAAUCGUGAUAUGUUAAUACAGUUAAAUACACAAAAUUCUUUUUAGCUUACAACUAUUUUUACUUCUUAUCAAUUUUGGUAGCAAUAGAAGAAAGUUUAACCAAGAUUUCUUAACAAAUGGAACGAGAUCAAAAAGGGUUCAACGAAAUCAAGUUGUCUUGAGAAUCGUGAUAUCUUAAUACAGUAAAAUAUACAAAAAAAACUUCGAGUUAUAGAGUCUUCCGAGUUACGGGAGAUAAUUUGUAUGAAAUUUGACCUCUAUUGCCAAUUCAAGAUUUCGAGUUAUGGAAUUUCUACUGUAUAUGUUUCUCAACUUUUCCCAAGUUUUUAUAAUGUUUAACAAAACACGAAAUUGAUAAGGAAAUAUAAAGCUUUCGAUGAUUAAUAAUAAUUUUUUUAUAUGAUAUAUGUAAGGAGGAAUACACAUGGAUGACCUUGUUGCUGUACCCCAAAUAAAAUACCUUGCUCCAAUAUUAUGUACAUACAAAUAAAUGCACACACCCUUAUUGUUUUAUAGAUAAAACAUUCCACAAAUAUUUUGGGGAUGCUGCCGUAGUGAUAACAUUGAUGAAUACAAUACACUGUCCGCUUAAAUUACCCAGUCCGGCUGUGGUGAGAAUGGUAUACAUGCCAUUUACAAAUUCCAAAUAGUUGCUUUUAAUUAAUUUAUUUAAGUUUCUACAAUUAUUUUUAUUCAAUUCAUCGAAAUAAUUUCAUUAAGUAAUAUUGAAUGCAGAUUUAAUAACACUACAAGUAUGAGAACAUUUAAUAAAUAGUAAAAUUCAAUUCUGGUGCGUUAAAUGCAUUUUAACAGAUUUCUUCACAUUUUCUCCCGACUGUGAGUAAUUACAAUGGAAUGCACUAAUUUAGAUGUCACUUUAAUACGAGUCUUUUGUAAUCGAACUUAUAUAUUUAUCAAUUGUGCAACGCAUGUCCAUACUUUUGUGAUAUUUCAUACUACAACUCUAUUUUGUGUCUAAUUUGUUUGAGAUAAAAUUCUUGUUUUACUAUUUCUAACUAGCAUUUUUUGGGAUGAUUAUAAUCUUUUUUUGUUCUUACUUGUUUAUUGUAUUUAUAAUUUUAGCGUACUUAGUUACUGGACCUGUUUACUCGACCUUCAAUAACUCUACAUCGAAAGUUAAAGUAGCAUUUGGUGGAAUAACGCCUGGGUGUCCC